GUACUACUGAAGAGUUCAAAACCAGGACGAAACGGCUGUCUAAUAU
rnacentral:hammerhead_ribozyme from 1 species